rnacentral:rRNA from 1 species
GACGAACGCUGGCGGCGUGCUUAACACAUGCAAGUCGAACGGUAAGGCCCUUUGGGGUACACGAGUGGCGAACGGGUGAGUAACACGUGGGUGAUCUGCCCUGCACUUCGGGAUAAGCCUGGGAAACUGGGUCUAAUACCGGAUAGGACUCCUGGCUUCAUGGUUGGGGGUGGAAAGCUUUUGCGGUGUGGGAUGGGCCCGCGGCCUAUCAGCUUGUUGGUGGGGUAAUGGCCUACCAAGGCGACGACGGGUAGCCGGCCUGAGAGGGUAACCGGUCACACUGGGACUGAGAUACGGCCCAGACUCCUACGGGAGGCAGCAGUGGGGAAUAUUGCACAAUGGGCGCAAGCCUGAUGCAGCGACGCCGCGUGAGGGAUGACGGCCUUCGGGAUGUAAACCUCUUUCAGCUAUGACGAAGCGCAAGUGACGGUAGUAGCAGAAGAAGGACCGGCCAACUACGUGCCAGCAGCCGCCGUAA